GUACUAUACUGUGCAAACAGAGCACACAUGGCCAAAUUUAUCAUGUUGUUUCCCAGACCCUGAUCUUUUGCUCCUUGGACUGUGGAGUCUCUUUUGCAAUUAGAGAACACGGAUUUGGCAGCACACAUCUAACCACAACUUGCUGUUUUUUCACUUGCUUACACAAGGAUAAAGCAAGGACGUAGCUACAGCUCUGAGUAAGCAUGGAAGAGCAGGAGUGCAACACUGACCACGCUGGUACAAGACACCACACAGACCAGAGCUGAAGGCUGAACCACCAGUACCAGUAAACGCACAUCUGAGCUUAAUAGCAAGCAUUGCUAUCCAUGCAAGCAAAGCAGGAGAGCAUUUACUCCUUGGGGUAUUUGUACACCAGAAAAUGGGGGGCAGAAAUGCGGGCAGUUGUGCUGCCCUGGGAAAGUGUCUGCAUGGCACGGCCCCCUUUGGACACAGCUCCGUUGGUCCUAGCUGCUCCAUGUGCAUGAUGCACAGCAGUUACACUGCCUGCUAUUUCUCAUUUUUGCUCUGUGUUUUUGAGUGUGACAAGGAAAAGCCCAAAAUUACUCAUAUAGGCAGAAAUGUCACUAUGGAAACAAGGAGGCAGUUUGGUACAGUUUGGCCACUAUUGACACAGAAGCUCCAGUAGCCCAGGAGAUGGUGUGACCCCGCGUGUCUGCAGCAGAGCUCCCUGAGAAGCAGAUCCACUGAGCAUACCACGGGGUAUAGAGACCUCGUUCUAUGGAAGAAGCAGAAGACAGUUUUAACCAUCUGUAUCUGGUGCAGAUCUAACCUCCUCUCUCCCAGAACCCGAAAAGCAUUUGCUGGUCUCUGAACCCCUGCAGGGAGCAGGACAAGGCUGCUGCUGGAGGACCAUUUUCAGUAACAGCAAGAGUUGCCAGGGAGAGGUCCAUGGGAGGAAAUUCACCUUAGUCCUCAUGCAGCACAGAACCUGCUGCAGCACAAAAAUUGCUCCAGUGCUGACAAUCCACUAUGCUUGAACAGCAACAGAAAGGCCGCUCUCUUUUUCAAAGCCUGAAAGUAGCUGCAAACACUUCUGUCCAAAGGCCCUGGACAGCAGCGGGGAAGCAGCAGCAGCUCUGCCCUGGUGGGGCUACUUCAGCCAGGGAGGAGCUCAGCAUUUGCUUCCAGUGCCUCUUGCUGUUCCUGUGCCUCAGUGAACAUGUCCAACGUCUGCUGACAACAAGUGGUCCCUGUCCUGGGAUAAACCUGGGCAAGCCACAGGGUCCUGCAGAGCCCUGCCAAAGCAUUUAUCCUCUCUGCGUCAGUCCCGCUGCAGAGCCACAUAAAUUGAGCCAGCAAUGUUGGUGAAUAAUCUCCCAGUGUGGAAUUUUCCUGAUCUCAAAACAGGUAGAAGGUUUCUAUGCAGUUCAGGUGGUGGAGAAGGAGAAAACAAAUCUGUAUGCUGCCCACAAAGGAGUGUUGUCUCAUACCCACACAUCACGUUCUCUCUGAACUUCCAAGGUGCAGCUCCUCUACAGAGAAUGCAUGCUUGUGAGCAUAUGGACUGUCAGAAGGGGAAGUGAAGCUUAUACAGUGUCCAGAGGCCUGGCUCAGGACCUGGUAGCAGCUUCUGUGUUUGAUGCAAAUCCCACUUCUUGUGCAGUUUGCUGUAAAAAAAAGGAGGCUCUGUAAAAGAAAAAUGAUGUAAUUAGCUGCUUCUGGCUUCUUACCUCCCUCUGCUUGGAGACUGCUGACUUCCAUGUACAGAAAUUGGGACACGUGCCCUCUAAGAGCUCUAGAGGGUCUUCAGGGAGUCUGUGGCAAAAAACAAUCCAAUUCUGAUGUCAGAACAUGGCAUGCACAUGCGUGUAGAUGUAUAUAUAUACUAGUAGAUGAACCUAUAUAGGUAUACGUGCUUAGGUCUAUUUUCAUGUAGAGACUAAACACUGUGGCAGAGCUGUACAUUUGUGCUGUUCUUACAGUCUCAAUAUUGUAUAGAGAACAAGAACAGAAACAGGAAAGGAAACAGGUUUUUUGCUCCAAGCAAAUAGCUACAGCUCUUGACACAUAUUUAACUGGGAAAAGGCAGAAUGAUAUUAAAAGAAUAAUAACACAGAAAAGCAAAAGCCCAUUUUUCAAAUUAAUUAAACUCAUGUACAGCCCAGCUUCUUGGUAGACAUCCUUUGAAGUGCACAGAACUAUUGCUCUUGCUCAAAAGCUGAAUAUAAAGCACAUCCUUUAUCUGUACUCGCCCAGCCCACCUGCUCUUUAUGGAUGAUCCCAGCUGCAGCCUAAGGAAUUGCAAUAAAACAGUACAAGGAGGAAAAGGUGGAGGAAAGAGAUGGCUCCACAGCCUCAACCCCAAGGCUAUCUGAGCGCAGUGCAAGAGCCAAACCCAGGGCACGCCGGGUGCCCAUUUACAGCUGUGUCCUCUGAAAGCCCCAAACCUCUGGAAUCAAAGCGACUCCUGCACUCAGCAUCUUUUGGGUGGUGGUCAAAACAUCUUCAGGAGGGACAAAAUGGCAUUUUUGCUAUCACUUACAAGAGCUAUCCGGUUAU